rnacentral:misc_RNA from 1 species
GUGAAUCAUCAAAUCUUUGAACGCAAAUUGCACUCUCUGCGGAGAGUAUGCCUGUUUGAGGUUCAGUGUUAAUAAAAAUCGGUGUGUUUGUUCGUUGUGACGCUCCGGAGUUUGGGUCAUCUUAAUAUCCUUUAGGAUUUAAUUGGCUUAAAAUGGACUUUUUUUGCGCAUUUUAGAUGUACAUAAAUUCUUUUUUUUUAUUCGUCUGUCUUAAUGCUCAAAAUCCUAUUAGAUACGACCAUAUCGGUUGGUUUCGUUGCU